rnacentral:tRNA from 1 species
GCGGAUGUAGCUCAAUUGGUAGAGCAGCGGUCUCCAAAACCGCCGGUUGCAGGUUCAAGUCCUGUCAUCCGUGCCA